rnacentral:rRNA from 1 species
AUUGAACGCUGGCGGCAUGCCUUACACAUGCAAGUCGAACGGCAGCGGGGGAGAAGCUUGCUUUUCCUGCCGGCGAGUGGCGAACGGGUGAAUAAUACAUCGGAACGUGCCCUGUAGUGGGGGAUAACUAGUCGAAAGAUUAGCUAAUACCGCAUACGACCUGAGGGUGAAAGUGGGGGACCGCAAGGCCUCAUGCUAUAGGAGCGGCCGAUGUCUGAUUAGGUAGUUGGUGGGGUAAAGGCCUACCAAGGCGACGAUCAGUAGCUGGUCUGAGAGGACGAUCAGCCACACUGGGACUGAGACACGGCCCAGACUCCUACGGGAGGCAGCAGUGGGGAAUUUUGGACAAUGGGCGAAAGCCUGAUCCAGCAAUGCCGCGUGUGUGAAGAAGGCCUUCGGGUUGUAAAGCACUUUUGUCCGGAAGAAAUGGCUCUGGUUAAUACCUGGGGUCGAUGACGGUACCGGAAGAAUAAGGACCGGCUAACUACGUGCCAGCCGCCGCCGUAA